AAAAAAAAAAGUAUUUAUGCAUGUAUAUUGAUAAACAAAAUCAGUUAAAAAAAAAAAUAAAAAAAGUAUUUAUGCAUGUAUAUUGAUGAACAAAAUCAGUAAAAAAAAAAAAGUACAAUUUUUUUCUAUUUUGGCCUGUAACACUUCAAACACUUAAUGGCUCAUCUACAGUCUUAGUCAGUACCUAACAAGGCUAGCCAAUGACUUUCCUGCCUUUUUUGCUUAACCGGUCGAGGUUACAUUGGCUCAUACAAUCUUUUUCUCUUUUGGCCUGUAACACUUAAAUCAGUUAAAAAAAAAAAUAUUAUUGCAUGUAUAUUGAUAAACAAAAUCAGUUUAAAAAAAAUAAAAAAUAAAGUAUUUAUGCAUGUAUAUUGAUGAACAAAAUCAGUAAAAAAAAAAAAAAAAGUAUUUAUGCAUGUAUAUUGAUGAACAAAAUCAGUUAAAAAAAAAAAAAAAAAAAGUAU
ensembl:lncRNA